rnacentral:rRNA from 1 species
AUUGAACGCUGGCGGCAUGCCUUACACAUGCAAGUCGAACGGCAGCACGGGCUUCGGUCUGGUGGCGAGUGGCGAACGGGUGAGUAAUGUAUCGGAACGUACCCUUCAGUGGGGGAUAACUAUCCGAACGGAUAGCUAAUACCGCAUAUUCUCUGAGGAGGAAAGCGGGGGAUCGCAAGACCUCGCGCUGAUGGAGCGGCCGAUAUCAGAUUAGCGAGUUGGUGGGGUAAAGGCCUACCAAGGCGACGAUCUGUAGCGGGUCUGAGAGGAUGAUCCGCCACACUGGGACUGAGACACGGCCCAGACUCCUACGGGAGGCAGCAGUGGGGAAUUUUGGACAAUGGGGGCAACCCUGAUCCAGCCAUGCCGCGUGAGUGAAGAAGGCCUUCGGGUGUAAAGCUCUUUCGGCCGGGAAGAAAUCGCGUGAGUUAAUACCUUGCGUGGAUGACGGUACCGGAAUAAGAAGCACCGGCUAACUACGUGCCAGCCGCCGCCGUAAGAC